UAGCCUAAUGGUUAAGGCUAUGGAUUGCCAAUCCAGAGACGGCGGGUUCGAUUCCCAU
rnacentral:tRNA from 1 species